rnacentral:tRNA from 2 species
GGGGAAUUAGCUCAGUUGGUAGAGCGGUAGGUUCGCAAUCUACAGGCCAGGGGUUCGAAUCCCCUAUUCUCCA